CACUCCUGCGGGAGGCAGCAGUAGGGAAUCUUCGGCAAUGGGGGCAACCCUGACCGAGCAACGCCGCGUGAGUGAAGAAGGUUUUCGGAUCGUAAAGCUCUGUUGUAAGUCAAGAACGAGUGUGAGAGUGGAAAGUUCACACUGUGACGGUAGCUUACCAGAAAGGGACGGCUAACUACGUGCCAGCAGCCGCGGUAAUACGUAGGUCCCGAGCGUUGUCCGGAUUUAUUGGGCGUAAAGCGAGCGCAGGCGGUUUGAUAAGUCUGAAGUUAAAGGCUGUGGCUCAACCAUAGUUCGCUUUGGAAACUGUCAAACUUGAGUGCAGAAGGGGAGAGUGGAAUUCCAUGUGUAGCGGUGAAAUGCGUAGAUAUAUGGAGGAACACCGGUGGCGAAAGCGGCUCUCUGGUCUGUAACUGACGCUGAGGCUCGAAAGCGUGGGGAGCGAACAGGAUUAGAUACCCCGGUAGUCCCAUG
rnacentral:rRNA from 1 species